AAAUUUUUGUUAUCUUUUACAAAAAUCUUCUUCUCUCAAACUAAGAAGACAAAUUUAACCAAACUUAUCCACAAUCAUCAUUAGGAUAUCUAGUUUUAAAAUUGUGUCCAAUUACCGCGCCUGUGAACCAAUAUUGCUGACAUGGCUAAAAAUGGAACAUAGGGGUCAAAUGCAGUUUUUGGCUCAUAUCUCUGAGACCAAAGCAUUGAGCAAAUCUGAAAUGAUAAAAAAUGUUCAUUACGUCAA
rnacentral:lncRNA from 1 species